AUCUAGCUAACAAGUCUCAACUAAGACGAAACGCGCGUCCUGGAU
rnacentral:hammerhead_ribozyme from 1 species